AACGAACGCUGGCGGCAGGCCUAACACAUGCAAGUCGAACGCUCCGCAAGGGGAGUGGCGUACGGGUGAGUAACACGUGGGAACCUACCUUCUGGUACGGAACAACCAAGGGAAACUUUGGCUAAGACCGUAUACGACCUCCGGGUGAAAGAUUGAUCGCCGGAAGAGGGGCCCGCGUCCGAUUAGGUAGUUGGUGAGGUAACGGCUCACCAAGCCUUCGAUCGGUAGCUGGUCUGAGAGGAUGACCAGCCACACUGGGACUGAGACACGGCCCAGACUCCUACGGGAGGCAGCAGUGGGGGAAUAUUGGACAAUGGGCGCAAGCCUGAUCCAGCCAUGCCGCGUGAGUGAUGAAGGCCUCGGUUG
rnacentral:rRNA from 1 species